CCUAGCCUAUCAAAACCCUAAUCGGCCCCCUCAUCCUCUCUGAGCAAUCUCACCGGAGUCCAUGGCUUCUCAGGCCAUGGACAGCCUGUACUCACCUUCCUUCACUCCUAAACCAUGAGUGUUCAAGAUUUCGAGGCCUGACCUUGAUGUCGUACGUUCAGAUCCUCUGCAGAUAUGUGUUCAUAUGGCCUCUCUAGCUCUACUCCAGCGUAUUCGAGCUCUAGGAGCCUAGCUAUGGCUAUCUCCGACUCGAGACCAGACUUUCUUCCAAGCUUUCUCAUUUCUAGGGUUUUAGAGAAACCCUAAAGCUAUUCAAGGUUCCUUUAUCUUUUAUUUACCUAGAUCUGUGGUGAACCUAUGUUAUAUUCAACGUUUUAAAGCUUUUCCCCAAUUUUCCUUGCAAAAUUAGUCUGUUUCAAUUUAGAGUUUAUGAAAAAUCUUAAAAGAACUUUUGACUCUUCUUCUUUGGGUGAAUCUGUCUAUGCUAUGUUCUUAUGUUCUUUCCUUGCAUAUCUGCUCCUGUGUUUAUAUGUUUUGCCAUAUUAUGCAUGUUCUUCUAUUUUGUGUUCUGUU
rnacentral:lncRNA from 1 species